UACGUGGGGUGCGAGCGUUGUCCGGAAUUAUUGGGCGUAAAGGGCUCGUAGGCGGUCUGUUGCGUCAGGAGUGAAAACUCGGGGCUUAACCCCGAGCCUGCUUCUGAUACGGGCAGACUAGAGGUAUGCAGGGGAGAACGGAAUUCCAGGUGUAGCGGUGAAAUGCGUAGAUAUCUGGAGGAACACCGGUGGCGAAGGCGGCAUCCUGGACCGACACUGACGCUGAGGAGCGAAAGCCAGGGGAGCAAAGCGGG
rnacentral:rRNA from 1 species